rnacentral:rRNA from 1 species
GCUUACACAUGCAGUCGAACGGAAACGAUACUAGCUUGCUAGUAGGCGUCGAGUGGCGGACGGGUGAGUAACGCGUAGGAAUCUGCCUGAUAGUGGGGGAUAGCCCGAAGAAAUUCGGAUUAAUACCGCAUAAUCUAUUCGUAGUAAAGUGGGGGACUUUCGAGCCUCACGCUAUCAGAUGAGCCUGCGUAAGAUUAGCUUGUUGGUAGGGUAAAAGCCUACCAAGGCGACGAUCUUUAGCUGGUCUGAGAGGAUGAUCAGCCACAUCGGGACUGAGACACGGCCCGAACUCCUACGGGAGGCAGCAGUGGGGAAUAUUGGACAAUGGGGGCAACCCUGAUCCAGCAAUACCGCGUGUGUGAAGAAGGCCUGAGGGUUGUAAAGCACUUUCAAUUGUGAAGAAAAGUUAGCGGUUAAUAACCGUUAGCCUUGACGUUAACUUUAGAAGAAGCACCGGCUAACUCCGUGCCAGCAGCCGCGGUAAUACGGAGGGUGCAAGCGUUAAUCGGAAUUACUGGGCGUAAAGCGUGCGUAGGCGGUUUAUUAAGUCAGAUGUGAAAGCCCCGGGCUUAACCUGGGAACUGCAUUUGAAACUGGUCAACUAGAGUAUGGUAGAGGAAAGUGGAAUUUCUGGUGUAGCGGUGAAAUGCGUAGAUAUCAGAAGGAACAUCAAUGGCGAANGCAGCUUUCUGGACCAAUACUGACGCUGAGGUACGAAAGCGUGGGUAGCAAACAGGAUUAGAUACCCUGGUAGUCCACGCCGUAAACGAUGAUAACUAGCCGUUGGGGGGAUUUACCCUUUAGUGGCGAAGCUAACGCGUUAAGUUAUCCGCCUGGGGAGUACGGCCGCAAGGUUAAAACUCAAAGGAAUUGACGGGGACCCGCACAAGCGGUGGAGCAUGUGGUUUAAUUCGAUGCAACGCGAGAACCUUACCUGGUCUUGACAUCCUGCGAACUUUCUAGAAAUAGAUUGGUGCCUUCGGGAACGCAGUG